GGACCCGCACAAGCGGUGGAGCAUGUGGUUUAAUUCGAUGCAACGCGAAAAACCUUACCUACACUUGACAUACUUGGAAUCUUUUGUAAUGAAAGAGUGCCUUUUGGAGCCAAGAUACAGGUGCUGCAUGGCUGUCGUCAGCUCGUGUCGUGAGAUGUUGGGUUAAGUCCCAUAACGAGCGCAACCCUUACCCUUAUUUGCCAGCGAUUCGGUCGGGAACUAUAAGGGGACUGCCGGUGAUAAACCGGAGGAAGGUGAGGACGACGUCAAGUCAUCAUGGCCCUUACGUGUAGGGCUACACACGUGCUACAAUGGUAGGUACAGAGGGCAGCUACACAGCGAUGUGAUGCGAAUCUCAAAAAGCCUAUCGUAGUCCAGAUUGGAGUCUGCAACUCGACUCCAUGAAGUAGGAAUCGCUAGUAAUCG
rnacentral:rRNA from 1 species